AAGGAGAAAGAAAAUGGAGUAAAUUAACAUCCGCAGUUAAGCACACUUGAACUAGAGUAGUACUGGGAUGGGUAACCUCCCAGGAAGUCCUAGUGUUACACCCUC
rnacentral:rRNA from 1 species